rnacentral:lncRNA from 1 species
CUCCAUCCACAUUCUUAGUAUAAACAACACACUUGUAAGUAACAUUAUCCAUAAUUUUCAUUAUCUACUUAUGUGAAUAUUCAAGCUAUCCAUCUGUGUCAUAGUCACUAAAUUAUUUUUAUCUUGAGCUAUAGAACUCCAAACUAAGAUCUGCUAAUUUUCUAUAAAACUAGACUCAUAUACCUUCUUACCAUAAAAAUUUCAUAAUUUUUGGUUGGGCCAAUUAAUACAGUUUAUUCAUUGAAGUCUCCCCUAUUCUGCUGUCUGACAGUUCC